rnacentral:lncRNA from 1 species
GGUUUUUGUUUUGUUUUUGUGUGUUUGUUUUGAAAUUGUUUGUUUUAUUUUUCGUUUCUUUAAAUAUCAUUAGAUAGUUAUUAAUGUUUUGAAGGUCAUUUUCAUUAAAACUUUUUAGAAAUAUAUUGAAAACUUAAACAAUAGAACAUGACUGUCAUAUGUUCUUUAUUACGGGUGGGUAGUUAAUGUGCAACACAAAGAAUCAAAUUUCUGUAUAUAAGAUAGGCAAAUUGGCCAAUG